rnacentral:rRNA from 1 species
GACGAACGCUGGCGGCGCGCCUAACACAUGCAAGUCGAACGAGCGAGAGAGAGCUUGCUUUCUCGAGCGAGUGGCGAACGGGUGAGUAACGCGUGAGGAACCUGCCUCAAAGAGGGGGACAACAGUUGGAAACGACUGCUAAUACCGCAUAAGCCCACGGCUCGGCAUCGAGCAGAGGGAAAAGGAGUAAUCCGCUUUGAGAUGGCCUCGCGUCCGAUUAGCUAGUUGGUGAGGUAAUGGCCCACCAAGGCGACGAUCGGUAGCCGGACUGAGAGGUUGAACGGCCACAUUGGGACUGAGACACGGCCCAGACUCCUACGGGAGGCAGCAGUGGGGAAUAUUGCACAAUGGGGGAAACCCUGAUGCAGCGACGCCGCGUGGAGGAAGAAGGUCUUCGGAUUGUAAACUCCUGUUGUUGGGGAAGAUAAUGACGGUACCCAACAAGGAAGUGACGGCUAACUACGUGCCAGCAGCCGCGGUAAAACGUAGGUCACAAGCGUUGUCCGGAAUUACUGGGUGUAAAGGGAGCGCAGGCGGGAAGACAAGUUGGAAGUGAAAUCUAUGGGCUCAACCCAUAAACUGCUUUCAAAACUGUUUUUCUUGAGUAGUGCAGAGGUAGGCGGAAUUCCCGGUGUAGCGGUGGAAUGCGUAGAUAUCGGGAGGACCCCCGUGGGGAAGGCGGCCUACUGGGCCCCAAUGGACGCUGAGCUGGAAAGGGUGGGUCGCCACAAAGGUUCGCUNCCCUGGUAGUCCACACCGUAAACGAUGAUUACUAGGUGUUGGAGGAUUGACCCCUUCAGUGCCGCAGUUAACACAAUAAGUAAUCCACCUGGGGAGUACGACCGCAAGGUUGAAACUCAAAGGAAUUGACGGGGGCCCGCACAAGCAGUGGAGUAUGUGGUUUAAUUCGACGCAACGCGAAGAACCUUACCAAGUCUUGACAUCCCUUGACAGACAUAGAAAUAUGUAUUCUCUUCGGAGCAAGGAGACAGGUGGUGCAUGGUUGUCGUCAGCUCGUGUCGUGAGAUGUUGGGUUAAGUCCCGCAACGAGCGCAACCCUUAUGGUCAGUUACUACGCAAGAGGACUCUGGCCAGACUGCCGUUGACAAAACGGAGGAAGGUGGGGAUGACGUCAAAUCAUCAUGCCCUUUAUGACUUGGGCUACACACGUACUACAAUGGCGUUAAACAAAGAGAAGCAAGACCGCGAGGUGGAGCAAAACUCAGAAACAACGUCCCAGUUCGGACUGCAGGCUGCAACUCGCCUGCACGAAGUCGGAAUUGCUAGUAAUCGUGGAUCAGCAUGCCACGGUGAAUACGUUCCCGGGCCUUGCACA